rnacentral:tRNA from 1 species
AAGACCUGUAAGACUUUAUCCUACAUAUUCUGAAUGCAACCCAGAUACUUUAAUUAAGCUAAGACCUC